rfam:Triticum aestivum genome assembly, contig: Triticum_aestivum_CS42_TGACv1_scaffold_061593_1DL
GUAGUAUUACCUCCGUCCCAAAGUUCUUGCCUUAGACUUAUUUAGAUACGAUGCAUCUAACAGUAAAAUGUGAUUAGAUACAACAUAUUUAGAAAAAUAUAAGACAAGAAUUUUGGGCCGGAGGAAGUAGUUG